GACUUGUAUCUGACACCACUGAUACCAUUUAACACAGCAAGAAUAUAGUAGACAUCUAUUCCGGUCCAUUCAGACUGAAAUUAUUAAGAUCAAAAGGAAGUGGUAAGGUACAGAAUCUGGACUACUUUUAAUUCAUAGAGCUAUGAAGAGCCUCAUGUUAACUUGUGUUGUUGUUUUAAUUAUUUUGUGUGUGUGACUCACCUACAUACACCAGAAGAUGUAAAAGGACAUUUGGAUUUAUAGGAACAAGAACAGCAAUAUCUUAAGCAAUUGCUCUUUUGAGUGGUGCUGAAAUACUGAUUGUGAUCUGAUGACUUUCCUAGGUCCUGGCUACUUUCUGGGAAUUGGGCCCCUCAUUUCCUAUGGCAGGUUUCUCUGGAUGGGAAUCGGCAGUGCCUGCAAUUACCAGAAGAUGUGUGGAGAAUUCAUGAGAGUCUGGGUACAUGGAGAGGAAACCCUCAUUAUUAGCAAUCAAGGAUGACACCUGCAGCUCAAGAACUAAAGCAGUGCUUCUCACACUGGCUUCUAUUCAAAACCCCACAGCUCUGGCUAUAAACCCAACUCAUACAGUCUCCAGUGGGGAGGGAACCCAGUCAUCAGAGGAUUUUAGAGGUCCCCAAGUGAUUGAAACAUUCUGCAGAGCUGGAGGGAGAAGAGAAGUCUAGGUCAGGUGGCGGAGGUGCAAGACUCGAGACCUGGAGGGAAGAAG